rnacentral:rRNA from 1 species
CCUUGUACACACCGCCCGUCACACCAUGAGAGUUGGGAAUAUCCGAAGCCUGUGAGCUAACUGUAAAGAGGCAGCAGUCGAAGGUAGAAUCAAUGAUUGGGGUGAAGUCGUAACAAGGUACC